UGGGGAAUCUUGCGCAAUGGGCGAAAGCCUGACGCAGCGACGCCGCGUGAGUGAUGAAGGCCUUCGGGUUGUAAAGCUCUGUGGGGAGAGAAGAAUAAGUGCGGGCUAAUACUCCGCAUGAUGACGGUAUCUCCUUAGCAAGCACCGGCUAACUCUGUGCCAGCAGCCGCGGUAAGACAGAGGGUGCAAACGUUGUUCGGAAUUACUGGGCGUAAAGCGAGUGUAGGCGGUUUGGUAAGUCGGAUGUGAAAGCCCCGGGCUCAACCCGGGAAGUGCACUCGAUACUGCCAAGCUAGAGUAUCGGAGAGGUUGGUGGAAUUCUCGGUGUAGAGGUGAAAUUCGUAGAUAUCGAGAGGAACACCGGCGGCGAAGGCGGCCAACUGGACGAAUACUGACGCUGAGACUCGAAAGCGUGGGGAGCAAACAGGAUUAGAUACCCCCGUAGUCCCUGAGCGGGCUGGCAAGGCGCAU
rnacentral:rRNA from 1 species